UACAGAGGUCUCAAGCGUUGUUCGGAAUUACUGGGCGUAAAGGGUGCGCAGGCCGCGCGGGCAGUCAAAUGUGUAAUCCAGGGGCUCAACCCCUGAACUGCGCUUGAUACUUCCGCGCUCGAGCUUUGGAGAGGAGUCUGGAAUUCUCGGUGUAGCAGUGAAAUGCGUGGAUAUCAGGAGGAACACCAAUAGCGAAGGCAGCUCGCUGGGACGUACUGACACUGAGGCGCGAAAGCGUGGGGAGCGAACAG
rnacentral:rRNA from 1 species